CGAUCUCAAGCUCUCCCACCUGGUGGACACCGGAGAGUCGGAGAUUCCUCCUCCUCCUCCUCCUCCUCCUUCGCCUCCUAUUUCUUCCACCACUGUAGUUUGAAUUCAGCUCGAAGUUGUUGUAAGGUCACAGUAGCGUAAUCGAGAGGUAAACUUGUCGUGUCCAAAGGGUGUAUGUAUAAAGAGUGAGAUGGGCAUAUAAUUUCCUCCCUUGAUCUUUCAACAUUUCCUUAUUGCUAUCGUAGCACAUCUUUUGUUGAUCGAGCGAACAACCUGU
rnacentral:lncRNA from 1 species